rnacentral:rRNA from 1 species
AUUGAACGCUGGCGGCAGGCCUAACACAUGCAAGUCGAGCGAGCGGCGGACGGGUGAGUAAUGUAUGGGGAUCUGCCCGAUAGAGGGGGAUAACUACUGGAAACGGUAGCUAAUACCGCAUACCAUCGGAUGUGCCCAGAUGGGAUUAGCUAGUAGGUGGGGUAAAGGCUCACCUAGGCGACGAUCCCUAGCUGGUCUGAGAGGAUGAUCAGCCACACUGGGACUGAGACACGGCCCAGACUCCUACGGGAGGCAGCAGUGGGGAAUAUUGCACAAUGGGCGCAAGCCUGAUGCAGCCAUGCCGCGUGUAUGAAGAAGGCCCUAGGGUUGUAAAGUACUUUCAGUCGGGAGGCGUUACCGACAGAAGAAGCACCGGCUAACUCCGUGCCAGCAGCCGCGGUAAUUC